CCUACGGAGUGCAGCAGUGGGGAAUAUUGGACAAUGGGCGAAAGCCUGAUCCAGCCAUGCCGCGUGUGUGAAGAAGGCCUUCGGGUUGUAAAGCACUUUCAGUGGGGAAGAAAGCCUUGGGGCUAAUACCCUCGAGGAAGGACAUCACCCACAGAAGAAGCACCGGCUAACUCCGUGCCAGCAGCCGCGGUAAUACGGAGGGUGCGAGCGUUAAUCGGAAUUACUGGGCGUAAAGCGCGCGUAGGUGGUCUGAUAAGCCGGUUGUGAAAGCCCCGGGCUCAACCUGGGAACGGCAUCCGGAACUGUCAGGCUAGAGUGCAGGAGAGGAAGGUAGAAUUCCCGGUGUAGCGGUGAAAUGCGUAGAGAUCGGGAGGAAUACCAGUGGCGAAGGCGGCCUUCUGGACUGACACUGACGCUGAGGUGCGAAACCGUGGGUAGCAAACAGGAUUAGAUACCCUAGUAGUC
rnacentral:rRNA from 1 species